AGGCAGAGGGCAGGGGUGCAGCAGACAGAAGCCCGAGGCCAGGGUGGCGGGGACGGAGGCUCAGCCAGGGCCAGACUGUCCGGGAGCUCCUGCGGGGUCACCAGGCCAUCGGCAUCCAACUCAGAUCCAGGGACUUCCACGGUCCGCGACACCCACACUCCGCUGAGCUCGGCGCUGCCUCACAGACAUUCAUUCAAGGAUUAAAGCCCCGUUAAAGACUAGCUGGUUGCUGAUACUUACAAAUCAUUUUUGUAUUAAAAAGAUUUAACAGUUACAGGACUGAGGUCCAGGAAGCUGUGGGCACGGCAGGGCAGAGGCUGGGGCGGGGUGGCCCCACCGCCUGCGGCGAGGCCUGGGGCCCCCUCCCCUGCCUGCCCGUGUGCGCCGUGGUCAGCUCUGCCGGCCGCAGGGAGUUGGAACGGGGUUGGGACAAGCUGGCUGAGGAGGCUGUGUGUGAAGGUAGCGGCCUGCGUGCGUCCCACACGCAUUCCCUUCCAUCGUUUCAGAAUUUCCCAGCGCGUGCUGGGGAUGCGUCCUACUGCGCGGGCUAGACAAGGGCCACGGUGCUGGGGCCCCAGCUGAUGCUGGGUCAUGGGGUCGAUAAAAGCUUCGGUUUAUCUCCAAAGACCCUGAGCUUUUCACUCUCUCCCUUCCUGUCCCCCUCCUGCUCCCUGCUGUUAGUAAGGCAUCUGGAGACCUAGGCGCCCAGCCUCUGGGGCCUGGGUCAGCCUCCUGCACAGUGCAGCUGUCUGCUGUGGGCCCGCCGUGUGUGCCGCACGCCUCCCGCGUCCACACGCUCUGAGGAGACAGGCCCUGCGUCAGCAGGCAUCGCCUUGGGAUACGGGAGGGUGGUCAGGACACUUCCUGGCUGUCAAUACGUUGUGGCUCCUUUUGUAAUGAGAACAUGGGGCUUUAACAAUAUGGGAUGGGGGGUCAGUUUCAUUUUUAAAUCUGCUUUUGCUCUCAAGUUUUGGUGAUAGUCUCAUGAUCUUUCUAAUCAUUUAUGUGAAUGCUUCCAACCUCCAAUUCAUCUUUUCUAGAGUCCAUUCCUUUGGCUUUACUGUGAUUUAUUUGUCCAAUGCACAUUUUUGGAUGCUUACUGGCUUCAGCUUUCCAACAGGAAGUGCGCCAGGCAGCAAGCGCCACGGGGAUGCUCCGCACCCACACGCACGGCUGCAGUUAAAGACAGCAACUGUGGGUGCUGGGAGGGCAGGGAGAAACCAGAGCUCUCGUUCCCAGCUGGUGGGCGGCGCAGAUACUCGGGAAGCAGUUGGCAGUUCCCCAAGAGACUAAGCACAGAGUCACCGUCACACCCAGCGAUCCCAGUCUUAGACACACGCCCAAGAGAGAUGAAAACACGCGUCCAAAGAGAAACUUGCAAACAAGUGUUCAUGGCAGCAUCAGUCACUACAGCCAGAAGGUGGAGACAAGCAAAAUACCCACCAACAGAUGAUAGAUCAACAAAACAGCGAAUCUGCAUGGUGGAAUAUUACUCAGCCAUAAAAAGGAUUGAAUUAUUGACACAGGCCAUGAUACAGAUGAACCCGGAAGACGAUAUGCCAAGAAAGAAGCUGGCUGCAGAAGUUGACAUGUGAGAUUCUGUUCCUGCAGAAAGUCCAGAAAAGCGCGCGGCUGAGCGGGCCUGCUGCCUCCUUCACUGCGGCCGGCUUUCCAGGAGAACUGGUGUUCCGGCGCUCUUGGCAGGAGGGGAGCGACAGACACAGGCCUGCCGGGCACCCUCACCCGGGCGGAGGCUCCGCAGAGCACGGGCGGCCCCCCCGCCGCUCCCUCUUGUCAGCUUCCGUUUGACAUCUUGUCUUUAUCCAAUUUUACCUUCAAGGGGAAAAUGUGCUUGUUGAAAAUGAUUACUGUGAAUUCUGCAUGU